rnacentral:lncRNA from 1 species
UCUCUACUCCAGUCGGUGACCUAGUUAUAGCUAGACGGGUAUACAGAAAUUGCCCUGUCACAUUCUCUCAGAAAGUCACCUCAGUAGAUCUUGUAGAGUUAGAAAUGGUAGACUUCGAUGUCAUUCUAGGCAUGGAUUGGUUACAUUCCUGUUAUGCCUCAGUCGUUUGUAGAACUAGGAUUGUUCGUUUUCAGUUUCCA